GCUCGAUUAGCUCAGUCGG
rnacentral:misc_RNA from 1 species